GUCCUCCGACUGCUCAACUCAGUGGUCAGGCCCCGCCCCCCAAUCACUGUUCUUAUUGGUCUGUGUCUUUGUGUUGGAGUCCCCAACAAGGUCCAUGUGGGCGUACCCCUUGCAUGGGGAUUGUCAUAAAAGGCUAGUGUGGCUACCAUUAAACCAGUUCCUCUUCACCCUCAACAUAGAGCCUUGUCUCAUGUGUGGAGGGGACAGCUAUAUUCACUCUGAGGAUUGCUAUACUCAUUAUACUCCCCUGGCUUCUAAUCACUUGCUCUUUAAAGAGCAGCCUGCUACACUCUCACUGGAAGCUGGAUCCUGGUCUUGGGUCCAGGGUGAGAACACAACCAAGCUGCGGCUGUUUGUGGGGUCUACAGUGCUGAUGGUGUCUAGUGGAGUGCUUUGCGUCCUCGUGAGCACUAGGACCAUCGAUUGACGGAGGCCAGGCGGUCCGUCACAGUCUGUAUGUCUCUGUAGGACUACACCUGCAAUCAAACACAGUAUACACAUAAUGACACACUGCCACCAACACACAAUCAGAUUUGGUAUACACACACAAAAUACUACACCCUAACGCAGUAUGCACACUUA